rnacentral:rRNA from 1 species
AUUGAACGCUGGCGGCAGGCCUAACACAUGCAAGUCGAGCGAGCGGCGGACGGGUGAGUAAUGUCUGGGAAACUGCCUGAUGGAGGGGGGUAACUACUGGAAACGGUAGCUAAUACCGCAUACCAUCAGAUGUGCCCAGAUGGGAUUAGCUAGUAGGUGGGGUAAUGGCCCACCUAGGCGACGAGCCCUAGCUGGGCUGCGAGGAUGACCAGCCACCCUGGAACUGAGACCUGGUCCAGAGUCCUACGGGAGGCAGUAGUGGGGAAUAUUGGACAAGGGGCGAAAGCCUGAUGACGCCAUGCCGCGUGUAUGUAGAACGCCUUCGGGUUGUAAAGUACUUUCAGCGGGUAGGCGUUACCCGCAUAAGAAGCCCCGGCUAACUCCGUGCCAGCAGCCGCGGUAAUUC